GAGACCAUAGUGUAAUGGUAUCACAUUAGUCUCUGAAGCUAAUAACGUAGGUUCGAUUCCUACUGGUCUCU
rnacentral:tRNA from 1 species